ensembl:lncRNA
AUGGGAACACCGAGACGGCCGCCAUUGCUCCCUGUCACAGAUCCACCACUGCUCCCUGUCACAGACGGGAACACCGAGACGGCCGCCAUUGCUCCCUGUCACAGACGGGAACACCGAGACGGCCGCCAUUGCUCCCUGUCACAGAUGGGAACACCGAGACGGCCGCCAUUGCUCCCUGUCACAGACGGGAACACCGAGACGGCCGCCACUGCUCCCUGUCACAGACGGGAACACCGAGGAAGUCCUCCAAGGGCAGGACUCAGACUAGGCGCCCACCUCAACGCCUGUCGACGAGAAACAGCCUCAGCAGGAACUCGGGCAGACCAGGGACGGUGCCUGCUCCACGACACCCGGGAGUCUGCUGUAAGACCAGGAGGCUGGGGCCUGCGGGGACUGCCAGCUGCACCUGCCUCCCUGGGCCACCUCCUUCUCAUGGCCUGGACUUGGAAGCCACCCACGGCCACUUUCUAUUGCUUGGAGCCAUCUGGAGGGGAUGGGCCCAGAGGCCACUGCCCACGGGGAGAGUCCUGGCUCUGGAGAGCGCGGGGCCGGGAACAUUAUCUCAGGGACACCCCGGAGCUGUGGUAUCCCCGACACGAGCUUGAGGCACACCAGCUCUCAGUCCACAUUUGCCAAAGGAGAGAGGAACAGCCAACAGUGUGACCCUCACCGUGUGCAGCCAACAGUGUGACCCUCACCGUGUGCAGACAACAGUGUGACCCUCACCGUGUGCAGACAACAGUGUGACCCUCACCGUGUGCAGACAGCAGUGUGACCCUCACCGUGUGCAGACAGCAGUGUGAGCCCUCAUGGUGUGCAGACAACACGUGUGACCCUCACAUUGUGCAGACAUGUAUGAUCACUCACCGUGAGCAGACAACACGUAUGACCCUCACGGUGUGCAGACAACACGUAUGACCCUCACGGUGUGCAGACAACAUGUAUGACCCUCACGGUGUGCAGACAACACGUAUGACCCUCACGGUGUGCAGACAACACGUAUGACCCUCACGGUGUGCAGACAACACGCCCAGAGCUUUACACGACUCCCUCGUAGGGGCUUGAUUGAGCGACUGACUGCUUGCCACAGGGUCGCGCUCAAGCUCCAAGGUGUCUGGCGCUGUGGGACCCAAGUCCCACAGUUGGUCUUGCUGCUGUGACCCUCCCUACCCUAGACCAAGACGCUCCUCUCAGGCAGGGCAGAAAUCACCUCCCAAAGCCAAGGCAAAGCCCAGACCUCACCCUGCACAAGAGGAUUCCUCACCACACGGGGGAAGGUGCGGGUCCCAUCCGUGGCACUGCAGCCGGGCUCACCUGGUGACCAGGACUGGGUGCCACGGGUGCUGGGCCAGCGCUCACCCCAGCCCCACCAGCAGGCAGGGAGGGUACAGGGCACUGCAGAGGGGAAACUGAGUCACAGAGAAUGGAGGGACUUGUCAGGAUUCUGACCCAUGGCUGGCAGAGCACAGGGGCCACGCGGCCCUAGGGCCCUCUCAGGCCUUGUCGCCCUCUCAGCCGGCGGGUAGGGGCCGGCCAUGCUAGUGGGUGUCCAAUCCCACCCGGGAAGGGCAGCGUGGGUCCAGCCCUGGUCCGAAUUCCUGUCCUGCCAGCUGGGAGGUGUGCGCAGGCCCCUUUGCCUUCUGUGCCUCAGUGUUUCCAUCUGUAGAUGGCAGUUGGCAGCGUCUUGGUGAGGAUUCGGCGGGUCCUGCCGCCCACCCACCCACGAUGGGCUUAAUCAACAGGUCCUGGCCAGGCGCGGUGGCUCAAGCCUGUAAUCCCAGCACUUUGGGAGGCCGAGAUGGGCGGAUCACGAGGUCAGGAGAUCGAGACCAUCCUGGCUAACACGGUGAAACCCCGUCUCUACUAAAAAUACAAAAAACUAGCCGGGCGCGGUGGCGGGCGCCUGUAGUCCCAGCUACUCGGGAGGCUGAGGCAGGAGAAUGGCGUGAACCCGGGAGGCGGAGCUUGCAGUGAGCUGAGAUCUGGCCACUGCACUCCAGCCUGGGCGGCAGAGCGAGACUCCGUCUCAAAAAAAAAAAAAAAAAAAAAAAAAAAUACAAAAAACUAGCCGAGCAUGGUGGCGGGUGCCUGUCAUCUCAGCUACUUGGGAGGCUGAGGCAGGAGAAUUGCUUGAACCCAGAAGGCGGAGGCUGCAGAGAGCCCACAUUGCACCACUGUACUGCAGCCCAGAAAACAGAGCAAAACUCCAUCUGCAAAAAACAAACAAAACAAAACAAAACAAAACAACCUGAAUGAAGCCGGCUUGAGCAAAGAAGGGACUUUACUGGCCCACCCUCUGAGCUGAAGUGGUGCGCCAUUAGGGACUUCAGGCAUAGCUGGAUCCAGGUGUCCACAAUGUCUCCAGGCUUCUGACUGCUCAUCUCUUGGCUCUGUUGUUCCCUAUGAUGGCUCCACACUGAAGAAAGGGCAUCUUUGUGUAAUUUGCACCAAACAGGCUGCCCCUGCCUGUGGUGCCCAUGGCCUUCCUGAGGGUCGGGAGACUCAGGAUGGCCGCCACGCUGGAAGGAGAGACUGCUGGCAGGUGUGCCCGCCUCCUUCACUGCACAGCACCCACUGGGACCGAGCGCUCUGCGGCGCCAGGGACGCUGGAGGCCCUGACAGUAGAUUCGCUCUGCUCAGGAUCAAUAUCACAAGGCAGCAAACGACCACAGCCAGGAGUGAACAAGGGCAUCUGACUCCUCCGGGGUGGGGGCUGACCUGAAGGGCAGUGAGCCAAGACCUGAGGCAGGGCGAGACACCACGCAGGCACGGCAUCCCUGGGUGGUGCCCACUUAGAAGUGGAGCGGGGAGGGCACGGGCAGCCGCAGCUCCCAGACAUCAGCACACACAGACGCACACACAAGUGCACACCAGCAGUGAUGCAGGCACACACAAGUGCAUGCAGUUACACAUGCAUACACAGUUCACAUGCUUACACGUGCACACGCCAGCACACACGCGCUGACACAGGCACACACAAGUGCACGCAGUUACACAUGCACACACAGCUCACAUGCUUACACAUGCACAUGCCAGCACACACGUGCUGAUGCAGGCACACACAAGUGCACACAGUUACACAUGCAUACACAGCUCAUGUGCUUAUACGUGCACAUGCCAGCACACACGCACUGACACAGGCACACACGAGUGCACACAGCUACACAUGCAUACACAGCUCACAUGCUUACACAUGCACACGCCAGCACACACGUGCUGAUGCAGGCACACACAAGUGCACACAGUUACACAUGCAUACACAGCUCAUGUGCUUACACGUGCACACGCCAGCACACACGCUCUGACACAGGCACACACAAGUGCACGCAGUUACACAUGCACACACAGCUCACGUGCUUACACGUGCACACGCCAGCACACACGUGCUGAUGCAGGCACACACAAGUGCACACAGUUACACACAUGCAUACACAGCUCACGUGCUUACAUGUGCACACACCAGCACACAGGCAGCUACACUCGAGUGCUUGCAGGCACUCACCUGGUCACAGGGCCACUGUUACACCAAACAGAUGACACAGUAACAUGGGCACACGUGCAGUCACACUGGCACACACAUGCAGAAGCACAUGGCUACGUAUGUGCACCUACCUGGCACGCACACACACGCAGCCUAGGGAUGAGUGGCUGGGGCUGAAGAGGGUACCAGGCGCCCGUAGCCCUGUCAACCCAUCACAGGCCCUGACGGGGACUCCUUAGUGCAGCUCCUCAGGCCACUGUCAGGAGGCGGGGCUGCGCCGAACCCGCAAUCCCAAAAGCUCCUGGUGGAUUUGAGAUGGCAGAGACCUCUGGGCCCCGCGGGCAGCGGCAGAGACAAAGCCCAGCCUGGGCUCAGAGCACGGAGACGGGCCCUGUCCUGAGGGAUCUGAGGGGGACAGGGUCCCGUCCUGAGGGAUCUGGGGGGGAUGGGGUCCUGUCCUAAGGGGUCUUGUGGGGGACGGGAUCCCAUCCUGAGGGGUCUUGUGGGGGACGGGGUCCUGUCCUGAGGGGUUGGGGGGGUAAUGGGGUCCUGUCCUGAGGGGUCUGUGGAGACGGGUUCCUGUCCCGUGGGAUCUGGGGGGGGGGACGGGGCCCUGUCCUGAGGUGUCUGAGGGGGGAUGGGGCCCUGUCCUGAGGGGUCUGAGGGGGGAUGGGGCCCUGUCCUGAGGGGUGUCAGGGGAGACGGGUCGGUGUCUGGUGGGGGUAGUGGAGAUGGGGUCCUGUCUGAAGGUUCUGGGUGGAGCUGGGACCCACCCUGUAGGCACCGUGUGGGG